AAGAAGAAAGAGGAUGGCCAGAGGAGGCUGACUUCAUCCUGAUAGAAUCCGUCAGAGUUGUCGCCGCCGUAGAGCGCAGGUGGGAAGUGAGAAGCUCUCCGGGGGUCACCGUGUUCAAGGCCAGCCUGGUGACUAUUAUUGCAGCCAUUGCGUCAGACGGAGCCAACACCUGAGGCCACCCGCUCCCUUCUGACCUUGGCAGUCAACCAGCAAGGUCAUCUGUAAUUCCAUCACCUGACUCUAGGAUUGUUUACCAGGCUCAGCAGAGAGAAACUGAGGGCCAAGAAAGGCAGACAGGUCCCCAAGAGCGGGGAGGCUCUCGGUGCGACCUAUCCAGCUGGUGAGGGCCCAUACCAGAUCCAGGAGAGCAAAGUUUUUGCACCAUUUGCCAUAUUUCGAGAUGAUAUUAACAAACCCCCAUACCGCCCCCGCUCCUGGAAGUCAUAAUUACAACUCACCCUUCCCUUUGUCGGGAGGAAUCGCUUUAAGCAGUCCCAGAAAGUCAACCUACUUUGGGGACGCAUUUUGCAUUUUUCAUUGCCCCUCAUCCCUCCCCAGACCUAUAUGUCAAGGAAUAGGGAGUUGAGACAUGACACAUUAAUGUUUUUAUCAGGGGACGCUCUCUGCUCCCACUGAAAGGGAGGGAGACUGGGAGGAGGGGGCGGCCGAGAAGGAGAGGAAAGGCAUCAAUCCGCAGCUCCUGCAGAAAUUCAUAUUCCGUGUAUGUUCCUGUCUCACCUGAAAUAAAUCCUGCAGGCUUACCCACACAAACCCCGCAGCGCUUAUUUAUUUGCAUGUCAUGCUUAUAAUAUGGUAGAAAGCAAGACGGAUCUUCCAGGAGGAGAGAUGGGGCUCACCUUUCAGACUCUCUCUCUUAAAUAAAAAAGAAUUGUCCGGCUGGGCGCCUAAGAAUUUAUCUUGAGUUUGUGGUCAUUAUCUCUAUUAUACAGCCCUGGCAAUAAAUAAAUCGGGUAGUUACUACCCAACAAUAAAACUGUAGUGUAUGGGACACCUUACUAUUACUUUCUUAAUAAUCUGCCGUUUCUUUCACUUUAAAUCUUCCCAGUCUUGUCUUCCCACUUGUCUACAAGGAUCUAUCUUCACCCCAUUGAGGUACCAGCCUGCUCGGUUCAUUUUUAUAUUUUGUGAACACAAUAAGUUUUCCUGUCUAGACUUUCUGUUUUUCCUCCUAUUUCUAGGCUGCCUAAUCUGCUUCAAGACAAAGGGCCGGCCUGGAUCAAAUGUCUUCCCCCCCACACACCCCAUUUUAACCGUCUGGGGCGUCCACUUUAAUGAAGAUCGCCCCCCUUGCGGCAGCCACCCUAGGAGUCUCCAGGAGAAAGCAAGCAACGCAGAGCCCCCCCCCCCCCGGGGGGGACAAGGCCGGGGGAAGAUGGUUUGCGCCUCCGCCGGUGGGCACGCCCUUGGGUGCGCACGGAGUCCAAAGGCCCAUCUGGAGAGAUUCUGCCUGAGCUAGUUCUCCCUCUCAAGGCCCUCAUCCGGAUUCUUGCCUGUCUGCUUGCCCACAUGGGGAUUUCGGGGUUGAGGGUCUCACCCCUCCGACUUCUCCCGGCUGGUCCCUCCGCUCAGGGCACAGCGCGCCACACGCGGACGCGAGCGCGAGCAGCCAGGACCCGCGGGAGAAGUCGGUCCUCACUUCUCCUCUGGCCGCUCCUCUGCGUCCGCUGGCACUAAAACCCCACCAAGGGGGCUGGGCCGGGGGAUGCAGACGCUAAGGUGGACUGGGGGUGGGGGUGCUCCUCUCAAGGUGCCCAGACGCGCGACUGGCCGGAGAGGCUGCACGCGCGCCCACCCGGCCUCUGCUCUCCCACCUGGGGCUAGCCUCCUCCGCGACGGCGAGGCGCGCAGCUCCCAUCCCAACCCCGACCCCGAGUCCAGCCCGAGGAGCAGUCCGUUCCCGGCCAGAGCCUUCCAGAGCCCAGGGGCCCCCAGCCUUGCUGGGAGGAUGCACCCAGCCUACGUCCUGCCGGCGCCUUCCCAAACCACCGCCACACUCGCUUUCACACCCGCUGGAAGAGUGACGCGUCCGGGCAGAGCGGUCAGCAAAUGACCGUCUUAUCCGCGGAGCGGGGGAAAUCGGGGGAGGGAGUAUAGGGAGGGCAGGGGGAGAAAGGGGCCAAGGGGCAGUGGUAAGCCGGGGAAAGAAAACAAACAGUCCUGCGUCGCUUCCCCUUUUGUCUUUGCACUGCUUGUCUCAAGAAAUCAACUUAAGCACCGCAAGCCCCACCAGGCUUGUUUUUGUUUGUUUGUGUGACUUAGAUCACAGAUAAACCAAAUCUUUGAGUGUGUGAGAAGGAAAAGAAGCCGCGGCCGGGCCGCUGAUGAUGAGGGGACGAUGAACUUCUCACCUUUCUUUAACUCAGAGCAACUCGUCCUUUAAAAAAAUCCACGCCGCCGUGGGUGUGUAUUUCACUGUUAAUUGCGUUUUGCUGGGAUGAUCUUUUACGACUGGAAAACAAGCGGCUGGGAAAAUAUUCACGUUUGGGACAGAAAACAUUUUUUAUUUAUAUCUUUGACAUUUAAAAGAGCAGAAUUAAUUUGUCCUGUCUACAUUAGCAUUGAGAGAAAGUUUCAGAAAUCUACCCGGGGGAAGAGGACGGUGAAAAAAAAAAGAAAAAAGAAAGCGAAUAAAAGAAAGGAAAAAGAAAAGCUAGGCUUGGUUUUUCUUAUUUCAGAUCUGUAAUCAAUCAUUGACAUAGGAGGCAGCAAAAUUGUAAAGAUUCGAUAGAUUAAAAUGCAAAUGAAAGGUAGAAAAAGAAACAUUAACAUGGCGAUCAAAGAUUUAAUAACCGUAAAUCAAGUUUUUUUUCCUCUGUUGCAGCUGCAGUUUGUGUGUGUGUUUAUGUUUUAAUCAUGUUCUUUCUAUAAAUAAAUAAUAUCUGAAACGAGACUAAUUUUUCAUUAUUUUAACCGUGGGCUAUAACACUAAAUAUUAAAAAUAGAAAACGUACCGGAUGCCAGAUCCCCAACCAAAUAAGAGAAAGACUUGUGUUGAUUGGUUAAAAUCGAGGGAGUUCAUUUGUAUGUUUUGAAAAUCAGAGUAUUAUGCUAAAAAAUUCUAUCUCAACUGACAAAGCCCAAAGUUUUAUUUUCCCUUUGAUAUUUUAUGUUAACGACAAGACACCAUUUAUAUUAAAUAUAUGCGUGACUGCAUAUCCAUUUCAGUUUGAGCCUUAUCAAAGAACGAAAGUGCCAGAAUAUUUAAAUAAUACAAAACAUAUAUUAUUUCAAAGUGAUCUGACAGAAUUCCUGGAAAAUAAUACGUAUUAGAAGAAUCUGCCUUCUAGAGAAAAAUUAAGUGAUGGUUCGACAGAGUUAAAACUCUUUUUAGCUUAAUAUUAAAGUUCUUUUUUCUAAAGGGGAGUAUUUUUGCCCUUUGUUUUUCUAUCAUUCGAUUUAAGGUUUUAUGUCAAGGUGUCAAAUGAUCAAGACAGUAUUUUAUUUAACUAGUAUUAGUAUCCAUUUUCUCAUAUGGUGAAGGCUUUUCAUUUAAACAUUUUUAUGUAAAAUACUGAUUUAUGUGGUUUAGAAAUUAUUUGUAGAAUAUUUAAAAUAAACCCCUGAUCCUCAUCUUUUUUUUUUUUUUUUUUUUUGUAGCUUUAUUAGCAUGGAAGAAUUCACCUUCAGAAGAUUGGAAACUUUUCUUUUUGGUUAUACAGGUUUGCAACGUUAAAAGUCAAUUCUUCGCUUAAUUUUGUCUUUGAAGGAGUUACCCUAAUUUAUUGAGAUGAUGAAUUAAAAUUGUCUCCAUUUCUCCUCUUUCCACAAAUUAAAAUGAUAACCAAACUUGGCAUCAUUGUUUCCUUGAUAAAAGCUUUCAGUUACAUGUGAGCUAAGUUGAAGUCUACUCCCUCCAUCCCAACCACACAAGCACAGUUUUCACUCUGACACUCCAAUAAUGCACUUAGUUUAAAAUUACACUUGGACCUUUCCUCCUUUGUAUUUUUUCAUUUACUUCAGUGCAACAAGAUGACUUGAUUUUCUUGGGAUUACAUGAACUCCAUUCAGUGUUACUGGGACAUUUCUGCUCAACUAAAUACUUGCCUUAAUAGACAAAUGAACUCCUUUUUAUUUGCUGGAGUUUGUAGACAGUUUUAGAUACAGAGCGUGCAACUGAUUUAGUUAUUGUUGUUGUGAGAAUCGAACAGGCACAAAAGUCAUUUAUCUAAACCAAAGAGAUAUGACUCUGUAAAGGGGAGAAGCAAGGGCAGAAUCAUGGGGAAUUAUUUCAGUUUAUAGCUCUUAUUAAUUAAACAGGGUGUGGGUUUAUUCUGAUCUUUUAAUACCGACCUUGUUAAAUGCUCCCAGAUACCUUUUCCCCCCUCACCCCAAUUUUUUCAUUCAUUAGAUUACUUGGGUCCCUUACUGAUGGGGGUUGCUUUUUCUACAUUAUAUCACUGAGCAGUUACAGUGUAAAAUCACAUGCAUCCUCAGACCGCCUUACCGGACCGGGGGUGGGGGUGGGGGGCAGAAAGAAAGAAAAAAAUGCUUUUCCCAUUCAAUUUUAGAGUCUUGUUUCGUUGAAAUGCAAGACAGGUACUUGAUUUAGCAUUUAAGCAAAAGGUUACACAAACCGCGUUUUAAAAAGUGUUGGGAUGUCCGACAGGGUCAGACCCAGAUCAGAUCAUUUUUUGAAUGCAGACCUAAAGAUAAUGAGUACUUGUUGUAUUAAAGGGGACAAACAGUACUUUGGCUUCCUCUGACCCCAGAAUGCACGGCUCGGUUUCAUUGAUCAUCCUCCUUUAUGAGAUAAUGCAAUUACAAACAUCAAUAAGGGGCUGCAAGGGGAAUCAUUAUGCUGUGACAGUGAUAAAUGACGGUGCAGAAAUAGCAUGCUUUUUCCCCCCUAACAAUCCAGGAGCCCAGGGGCUCCGGGGACUGAACACAGUCGCCAAGGAAACAGAUGACAUCCCAAACGGCACCAAAGGAAAAAAAAUGAACAGUCUUUCUUUGCCUUUCACUCUUUUCCGUCUUCCAAAGAGUUAGUUUUGGCUCUAGCAGCAGCUGCCACACAGGCAUUUCGUUAUUUCAGACAUUAAAGACUGGAGCGAGCGGUGGGAGUCUCCUCCUCUUCCAUCCCCACCCCCACUAGAUAACACACAAAGCUCGCUGUUCACUCUUUAGGACUACCUGAAAAUGCACGUCUUGAAAAUCAGAUGGGGGGAGGGCGCGGGAAAGUGGGUUUACACACCACUGCGUUGUGUUUUCCCCGCUUUCACGAUUGUCCGGUGGAAACUGAGUCUCCAGAACAAGCUGGCGCCUCGUGGGUCGGCCAGUAAGGAAGGGGGCGCGUGGCUCACCUCCAUCUCCCCGCAGUGCCAGACACUGCUCGAUGCCAAGGGGAUGGGAGGUGUUGCGGGGGAGGAUAGUGGGGGGGGGAUGGGGAGCAGGCGGCUGCGAGGGGUGUUUGCCGCUUCGCUGGCUUUCUUUGAGAUGGAAGUAUCAUUGGGCACAGGGAUCUCUCCUAGAUGGAGGAAUCGGGUUGUUUAAAGCCCCAGGGUGCCCUCAGCAAGUAGCUUCAAGAGGGCUUCGCUAAGCGAUCCCCAUCCACAGAGGUCAAGGCUGGUGGGUGAAGCAGGCGGGAACGAAAAGGUGAUGGGUUACCCGGACCUGCGGCUGCGGGGAGAGGUCAGGGUGGGGGGACAGCCAGGGGACUCUUGGAAGGGAAGGGGCGCUCGCCACUUUGGGGAAAGGAGCAGGAAGAAAACGCGGAGGUGAGAGGGGGCCCCCAAGAAGAAAAUAGAAGGGAGGGGAGGAAGAAAGUCGACGAGGGCAAUCCCACCCUUCGAGAAGGUCGCCAACCCGAAGACAGCAGGCACAGGCUUCCCUGACCCCUGCGGGAAACGCUCCAGCUUGGAGCGCGGGACCCCUGCGCAUUCCGCCCUGCCACGGAGGAGCCGGCCGGGCGGAUGCGGGAGCAGGUGACUUUAUUCACUGCUUCCCCAAUCGGCGAGGUCCCGGGACUCGUUUUCCAACUGGAUAUAAAGAUCAUUGCUCACGUAAUGAACUUAAUGCUUUAGAGUAGAGGGUUUCAGCGCCUGGGCUUCCCCUCGCUGGAUUGAGCUCUCCGGGCAGUGCGCGGAGGAGCGACCUUCGGGCGCGGCCCGCCAAAAUUGGGACCAUAAAAUGCAUCUCAUCUCUUUACCAAGACCCCCAGGAUACCCGUUUUUAAGGCAAAGACUCUAGAAAGCUCAGAUGUUGGCGCACAGGUUGCUCAAUAUGUUGUUUGUUUUCUCUUUCAGCUCCGCCUUGGGAGAGACUGUUGUAGACUCCUUAGUGGGCAGAUUGGGCCAAAAUGAGACACACACACACACCCCCCGCAACUUUCGCCAUUAGCGACCUCCUCAAGAGGCGAUCCCCCACUCUCUCUCCUUCGCCGCUCUGUACUUGCCCCUGGCAUUCCCAACCUCGUGUAAACUCUGAACCUGGCCACCCAGAGUGCUUCAGGCUGCCCCACAGUCAAGUGGGUGAGGGUGGCACCGGAGAGGGGAGUCAGGCGAGGUGAAAUGCCCGGUCAGGGCCAGGCAGGGUGCCCCAAACCCAAUUCCAUGCCACUCUAGCCACUCUAUCCGGGGUCCAAGCGCCUACCGGGGAGCUCUGCAACGUCAUGUUUUUACAGGGGCCGACGGCCUGCUGGGAUCGGAAAGGCAGGGGAAAGUUUGCAGAGGCUUUAAAGUGAUCCUGCCGAGCGCCUGCCUAAGACGUCGGGGUACUAGAUGCCCACCGCUUCCCGGCUGCGCCUGGCGGACGCUGCCCAGAUCUCAAGUGCCCCCCCUCCCCGUCCACCCCCCGGGAGCUCCAAGCUCUCGCAGUCCUGCUUCCAGAGCCCCGGUGGGACUCGGACGCAGACUCCAGCAAGGAACGUCUAGUCCGCCACAAAGCACCCCGAACCGCGCCAUUCGGAAGGCAAGAGGCGGGAGCCCAAAGGACUUGCCUCUUCACAACCUUCUGCGCGGACCCUGGGUUGCCUAGUGUCCUGAGGCGACGUAUGCAGCCCCUUUAGAUUUGGCUUUCCUUUUGGUUUAGGGAAGAGGGAGAAGGCCAGUGGAGGUGCUGGAGCCGCCUCCCUAGGUGCUCUGGGCUCUGAGCAGGGACCUGUCCGCCCUGCUCCCUCCAGGGCCAGGACCCGGGCUUAGGGCGCCAGAGCUGCCGCGUCCAGACCGGGAUCCUCGCAGCUGCUGCCGCAUCCCUCGGGAUCUUCUCCUGGCGCUCGGGGACCCGCCCAGCCCCAGGCCAGCAGCAUCUCCCUUCCGAACCCAGCUCGGACUCGAGGGGCGCAGCGCACAGCUAGGAACAAGGAGCGAAAAUUCUAUGCGAGGCGUGGAAGACGCGGGCGGGAGGGGGCGGGUGGCGCUGGUGCUUUUCCUUUUCAGAACCUUUCGACUAUACUACGAAGUUUCCUGGUAGGCGCCUCGGCUCCGGGGUCGAAGCCUCCCACCGCUGCUCCUUCCUCACCCUCCUCCCGGCCCCCCGGAGCCAAGAGAGCUGGAGCCUCCGCCUCGGCCCGGCCGCCGCUUGUCCCCUCCCCACCCGGUGCCCAGGCUCCACGGGGGUGCCUCUCCCCAGGCGUAGCUCGCCGGCCGGACGCACAGCAAGGAGACACCCGCUGCCUCCCGAGGAACUCCUAAUACCAUCCAUACAACUUUAAUGCGUUUAUAAUUCGAUAAGUGAUUUCAAUUUGAAAUUGUUAGUAACUAAUUUUAUGGGUAAUUUUUCCACAUCAAAUAUUUAAGCAUCAGAUUAAGGGAGCCAGUUCCGACACAGGAUAAUAAGGGGGUUUCCCCCCCACCCCCCGCGCCCCCGCCUCCCUCGGAUUCCUACCGAGUCGUUUUUCCAAAUCCCCAAAAGAUGGCAGUCGAAGCCGACAUUCUUCUUUUCCUGAGGCUCUGCGAAGGGAGGGGGAGAAGGAGGGUGGAAGAAAGAGGGAGGGAGGUGGGAGGAAAGGGGGGGGAGAGAGGGAGGGAGAGGGAGAAGGAGACAGAGAGACAGAGAAAGAAGAGGGAGAAACUAGAUGUUGCACGGACUUCUCAAAGUAAUUCUUUCACACGUUUCUAAUACAGGCAAGAAGCAGUGGUGAAUUUCCUGGAAAUGUCCAGGCGGAAACGCAAGCCAAAAACGUGCCUUGUGGUCUCAGAGCAGGGGAUGUGAGAAACUCAGCACUUUCAAACUAAACCUCGAUUCAGAGUCGAAGCAAAAGAGGGGCCACUGGGAGAGGGAUAGACUGGCUUUUUGAUGUUUCUUUGUAUUUAACAUUACGUACAAGCAUUAUACAACUAAGCAACUUGUUUCCUCGACAGGACUCUAUAAAUUACCUGAUGGGGGGGUAGAGAAGAGGUGGGGUGGGGAAAGGUGAUGGGUGGGGGGCAGACGGCUGUGGGCGGAGGGAAGGCUGGGGCCAGAAGCGGAUGAAUUGCCGACCAGUUGCCAAACUUUUUUUUUUUUUUUUUUUUUCCUUGCUGCUGCUGCGGCUGCGGCUGCCUUUGCUGCUGCCUUUGCUUUGAAUGUGGGUAACUAGGAAACAGCAAGCCGUCUGAGAAGACGGAAUUUCCAACGUGUAAAAUGUUCUUAACGGAACCAUUGAGCGAGUGCAAUAAGGCGUGAGGGGGAACUAAUCUUCCCAUUUAAAUGUUUGUGGCAAUUUUAUCUAAAUGAAUUUUAAUGCUAAACGAGGGUAAUUCCCCAUUUGUAGCGCGUUUACUUCUCUUUCCUGUGCUUCUAAAGCAGUCGAACAUCAUGCAAUGAACAAUAACAAUAAAAAUACUGUCAAGG